rnacentral:lncRNA from 1 species
GAAUAAGGUGAUGUCUUGAGCAAGACAAGAUGUUUAAAACGAGGCUCUGGAUGAAAGUGGACUUUUCUAAAUUCCUUUUAUGAAUGAGAGACCCAACCAAGAGCUCCUCCUGGACAGGAGAGAGAAUGCUGCUCAACACUGGAGAGCUAGAUCUUGAGACUGUGCCCAAAGAUAAGGAAAGUGAAGCUAGCGAAAGCAUGUGAGUGGCCCAAGUCGAUCCAGGAUGUGACAAUCCAGGUGUCUCUGACUGAAGAGCCCACACCUUUAGCCUCUGCGCUAUAAAGUUGCUUUAAGUCAAUCUAGAGUUCAGUUGACUUGCCUGCCCAGAGUGUCUUCUUCCCUGAAUUCCUUCCUCCUCCAUGCUGCCACUCCUCCCCUUAAACCAUGCAGAAGGGGCUCCUCAUUGCUGGUCUGUAGGAUGAAGUCCAAAGUCGCCAUGGCACACACUUAGGACAGGAGCUGCUGAAUGGAACACGGGAUGAACACUUGUACAGGGA